UUUGAGGGUCAGUGGUCAGUGGAUCGAUAAAACUGCGGUCACACUGCAAUAAGAACAUGCGCUACCUCAAAACUUUAAAUUUAUUGUAAAAACCACAACAAAAAGGAUAACAAGGUCUCAAAAACAAAAGUUAAACGAUAAACAGUCAUGACGGUUACCAAAGCAUAUCAAUUUGGGCUCGAGUACGCAGAAGUUUGUAACAAACAUACCUCCAUGCGAUAUCUAAUCUUGGGCUGCAACCUGAUGUACGAACAUCAUGUAACUGGCUAGGUCUGAUCCCUGAUGGGAAAGCACGUGGAUCGGUGGCCGGCGCACUCCGGCUCCGCCUGCACAACAAUCUGACUGUGUCCAAUUAGAUAGCACCCAAGUAAGCUUCAUCUCGCUCAACCAGCGCCAAGUUGUAGUUGGAACACGAAUGAUACGGAACAGAUAUUAGGCCGUGGAAAAGUUGGAAGACACGCAGUCGGAUUGACAGAAGCAUCUCAUGCACUGUGGAUCUCGGUAACAGGAGAAAGAUUUACAUUGCUGGUCCAUCAGGGCUAAACACACGAAAAACCACCUCCAGCAAUGAGUUGCAGCAUGGCACCAAUGUGCAGUUCAAAGAGUCCGAGGAGGAGAGCGAUAAUGAUAAAUAUGGCGAGUUUGGGACAGUUAUGUACCAGAUGAGGGGGAGGCUCACAUUGAGGCACAUCCUACCGGAGAGAGUUUGGCCAAUGAGAGUCUGUCAGCAUUAUGAAAAAGUAUCGUAUCCUGCAUCUCCUGGACAUCUUUGGCUAUUUACUGUCUACAGUGUCGCCUAUGCAAGUUAUAAAAGAACGCCGUGGAUUUGCAGAGCACGUCAGCCUAUGUUUUGAGAG